UACGGAGGGUGCGAGCGUUACCCGGAUUUACUGGGUGUAAAGGGCGUGUAGGCGGUCUCUCAAGUCCGAUGCUAAAGACCGAAGCUCAACUUCGGGGGUGCGUUGGAUACUGUGAGGCUAGACGGUCGGAGGGGGUAGCGGAAUUUCCGGAGUAGCGGUGAAAUGCGCAGAUACCGGAAGGAACGCCGAUAGCGAAGGCAGCUACCUGGACGAUUGUUGACGCUGAGGCGCGAAAGCGUGGGGAGCAAACCGG
rnacentral:rRNA from 1 species